AGCUCAUCAAGAGGGACUGAGGGAUACGGCCCUGUGAAGUCCCGGCAACCGCCGCGAUCCUCCGCCGCCCGGCAUCCAGCCAGGAAGCGGUUCGCGGAAACGGUGCCAAUUCCGCCCGGGGCGACCGCCGCACCCGGGGAAGAUGAGAA
rnacentral:ncRNA from 2 species